rnacentral:rRNA from 1 species
GACGAACGCUGGCGGCGUGCUAACACAUGCAAGUCGAACGGUGAAGCGCCUUCCUUUUUGGUGGGUGUGGAUGAGUGGCGAACGGGUGAGUAACACGUGAGUAACCUGCCCCCUUCUUCUGGAUAACCGCAUGAAAGUGUGGCUAAUACGGGAUAUUCUGGGUCUGUCGCAUGAUGGGUCUGGGAAAGAUAUUGUUUCGGUGGGGGAUGGGCUCGCGGCCUAUCAGCUUGUUGGUGGGGUGAUGGCCUACCAAGGCGGUGACGGGUAGCCGGCCUGAGAGGGUGGACGGUCACACUGGGACUGAGACACGGCCCAGACUCCUACGGGAGGCAGCAGUGGGGAAUAUUGCACAAUGGGCGCAAGCCUGAUGCAGCGACGCCGCGUGAGGGAUGGAGGCCUUCGGGUUGUGAACCUCUUUCGCCAGUGAAGCAGGCCUGCCUCGUUUGUGGGUGGGUUGACGGUAGCUGGAUAAGAAGCGCCGGCUAACUACGUG